AAUUAAUUUAAUUUCAGUUAAUUGAUUAAUUAAUUUAAUUGAUCUAUAAAUUUAGUUUUAUUGAUGAAUUGUUUAUAUAAUAAUUUUGUUUGAGUAGAGAUUUGAUUUAAAAAUAAGUGAAAGCUUGAUUUAGGUAUUAAAUUUAAUAAAGGUAAUUUUAGUGCCAGCAACAGCGGUUAGACUUAAUUUGUGAAUUAAUUUGUUUAAUUUUUGAAUUGGUGUAUUGUAUAAUUGUUUAAUUGAAUUAGUUUUAUUGUGGUGAAAUAUUUUUUACUAAUUGAUUAAAUUUUAUUUUAUGAAUGUUUGUAAAAUUUUAAAGUAAACUAGGAUUAGAUACCCUAUUAUGAAAAUGAUUAUAUUUGAAUUGAUUAAUAAAUGUAGAUCAUUAAAAUUAAUAAAUAUGGCGGCUUUAUAAUUUAUUUAGAGGAAUUUGUGUGUUAAUUGAUAGUCCACAAUAGGAUAUACUAUAAUUAGUCUUUGUGUAUUGCUGUUUGAAGAGUUUAUUUAUAUUUUAUUCUUACAAUAUUUGAUUAAAAUAAUAAUUCAAGUCAAAAUGUGGGCUUAAAAGAUUAUAUGAAUUACAUUAAGUUUAAUUUUUGAAUAAUUUAUUUUAAUGUGAGUUUGAAAUUGGAUUUAAAAGUAAAUUUAUUUAAUUAUGUUUAUUGAAGAUAAUUUUGUUUAGUGUACAAAUUGCCCGUCAUUCUCAUUAUAAGUGAGGAAAGUCGUAACAUAGUAAAUGUACUGGAAAGUGUAUUUUUUGA
rnacentral:ncRNA from 1 species